AAAAACGCUAAUUUUAACGACACUAACGCUUCCAGCUAAACUCUAAACCGUAUAUCCUAAAUUCUAAACCCAAAUCCAAACCUUUAAACUCAAACCCUAUACCCUAAAACCUAAUCCUAGAUCCUAAACCCAAAUUAUAUACCCUAAACCCAAAAACUAGACUAUAAAUCUAAACUCUAAACCCUAAACCCAAGUCCUACACCAUAAACCCAAACCAUAAACUUUAAACUCUAAUCCUAGACCCUAAACCCUAAUCCUAGACCCUAAACCCAAAUUAUAUACCUUAAACCCAAAAAAUAAACUAUAAACCUAAACUCUAUACCCUAAACCCAAGUCUUAGACUAUAAACCCAAACCGUAAACCUUAACCCAAACCCUAUAGUAUCUAAGUUUGGGGUUUCAGUGUAGGGUUUACUAUUUGGGUUCUAGGUCUAGGAUUUGGGUUUAGGAUAUAGGUUUUGGGUUUAGGAUUUACGGUUUGGGAUUAGGAUUUACCGUUUGGACUUAUAGUUAAUGUUUUGGGUUUAGGAUAUAUAAUUUGGAUUUAAGGUUUACGGUUUGGGUUUAGGGUCUAAGACUUGGGUUUAGGGUAUAGAGUUUAGGUUUAUAGUCUAGUUUUUGGGUUCAGGGUAUAUAAUUUGGGUUUAGGGUCUAGGAUUAUGGUUUAGGGUAUAGGGUUUGGGUUUAGGGAUUUGGAUUGGGUUUAGAAUUUAGGGUAUAGGGUUUAGAAUUUAAGAUUUAGGGUUUAGCUGGAAGCGUUAACGUCGUUAAAAUUAGAGUUUUUAUUUUUUGUAGCUAUUUUUUAUUUAAUUUAAUAUUUUUUAAUUAAUAAUCUAUGUGUCAUUUUGAUUGGUCAUAAAGUGUGCAGUUAAUUUAAAGGUUCACCCUAGGGGGUGAACCUAAGUUCUGUCCUUUUAUUUAUUCAUCACUCCAUUUUUUGCUUUAUUUUACAGUAAAUUAUGGAAUGGGGUUGGAGAUGCUCUUAGGCUGCUUCGUGCUCCAUCUUCUCUUCAGCGCGUGUAACCUACGCCACACCCUUUGUAAAAAUUUAUCAAUCAAAAGGAUUCUUUCGGAUAAUUGAAACUUUCUUCAACUAGAUUGCACGUAAAGAAACGAAUACACUUAUGACUUAUACAAAUCCUGUUUUCUCAGUAAUGCACGCUUACAACCUUUAUUCUUUCGGUGAAUUAUAAUUAAACUUUUUCGUUUCUGGUAAUAUUUGUAAAAGCGUUUACAUCCAUGUUAUCUUAUAAAGAAAUUCAAAUAUCAUAAGUACAAGUAACAGUAUAAUAAUUAUAAAUUCAAAAUUAUAAACUAAUUUUCAUAAUGAAAUAUCAUAUAUUAAUUAUUUUUUGAGAAUUUCUAUGAGAUAUGUGCGUUAAAUUACCUUUAUGUUACCCUUUAAAUACGGAAAACGAAAGUGGAUUACUUGCGAAUGACUGACUGUAUCAUGUGAGAAUCUGACAUGGUGACAUGACUUAUAUGUUUUUUUUGCAAUUUGUUACGUAACGCGCAGGGGUGGCUUCUCACGCGUCCAAGAAGCAACUUGGAAAUAAAUUGUUGGGGAAAGCCACCCAAAUUCUUCGUCAUUGUAAAUAAAUAAACCCAGAGUCAGAAGCAACACGGUCUCUCUGACUCUCUCUGUAUAUAAAUAAACUCUAUUCGUCAUUGUAAAUCAUAAUAACCUCACAAACACAUUUCUUAAUUUGAAAAAUCUCUCUCUCUCUCUCUCUCCGGAAACUUCAAAGUCUCUUGGUCUUGUUAAUUAUCUUUAAUUUUCAUCAUGAACUCGAUGUUCAGUGCCUUCGACGCCCUCUUCGUAGAGCUUAUGGGAAAGAACCUUAUGGUUUCUUCGCUUAACGCUACCUCCACCGCCACCCUCAAACCUGCCGUACUGCAAAAGCAAACGCAGAAGGAGGAAAACGCAAGCAAUAAGAUAAGUUUGGUGCAGAAGACUCCGAGGUUUGCUCUGGAGCUCGACGGUCUCCACUGCUUCGAGACAAUAGUCCGUUCUUGAUUUUGAUUCGUAUUGGUCCGUCUUGUAGCUUGACCUCGAGAUCAAGAAACAAAUUUUCUGAGAUUGUUAUUUUAAUUGGAUUUAUUCAUUAUAUCAUAUUAUCAUGUGUUUGUGAAUACAUUUUUUAAUAUCGAUUGAUUAUGUAUAAUUUAUUUUAUAUAUUUCUUAUCAAUUUAGUUAAAGUCGAACCAGAACAUAACAAAUUUCAGUAUUGGUAUUCUUGAGUUUGCUCAUAGCCUCGAACUUUAGAUUCCUGGAAAUACAUCAUCAGAUUAGUCGUAUUCUUAAAAUCGAAUCCAAAUUAAAACAUUAGAUUGUUUCAAAAAAAAUAAAACAAUUAAAACAUUAGAUUAAACAGAACUAAAGAACAUAUUACAUACGGAUUGAAACAAAACCAAAAGCGAGAUUAGGUGUACCCUACUUGAUAAAGUGUAGUUUCAUGGUUAAUUAAUUUUUAUAUAAGAUAAUUUAAUAAAUUGGCAUCUAAGCAAAUGGAACAAAAAUGAUAAGUUGAUAACUAUUCCCUUGCAUUCCAAGUGUAUGGUUUAGGAUGUGUUCUCUAUUCCCUUCCCUAGUUUAGAAUGUGUUUUCUAUUCCCUUGCCUAAUUUAACAUUACGUAGUCCGGAUAAAGAACACGAUAGAUUCAACAUAACGAUAUUGGAUAUUUGUGCAUAUAUAGAUACAAACAAAUUAAUUUUGUAAACAAUAUAAAUAGAACUGCAACACGCAAAAGUGUUUUUUCAUCUUUUAAAGAAUUGAUACUUUUUUUUUAUUUCAGGUCUUAGAGCUUCUUUUCGUUCAAGUUAAAGAAAAUGCAAUGAAGAAAAAAUAUAGAAGAUAUUUUUAAAAGGGUCUAUAUUUAAUGUUUCGCCUAGAGUCAUUAUAUUGGUUAAGACGGCACUGGGUUGGCGUAUGUGGUAUUGAACAUGAAUAUAUGUUAAAAAUAAACCAUGAAGCUAUUCCAACAAUAUCCGUUUAUAUAUUAAAACAACCAUCGAGAAAAGUUCACAAUACACAUAUACCAUUCCUAACGAUGUCUUACAAACAUGUAUCUAAAGAAACAGAUAUAUUCAUCAACUUUUGUAGUUGAAAUUUGACCAAGUACUGGUUUAUAUGACUGUUUAUGUUUGACUCGGUUAGCUCUACUACAGAAACAGAACUUUCCAAAAGUCAAUAAUAGUAUUCCAAGAAAUACUUUUCAUUGAACUGCGAUUAUAAGUCAAUGAAUUCUAUAAACAGUUGAGGCUGUCUAAGCUCUCGCGUCACUAAUCACAUAGAAUUGCGAGUGGUGUGCACGGGGCCGGCCCUCAAAUUUUGGAGGUUUUAGGUGAUUUUUGUAAAGAUUUCAUUGAAAAAAAAAAUUUAAAAAAUUUAGGGGCCUUUUUAAAAAAUUUGGGGAUCCUAGACGAAUGUUUCAUUCGGCUUUGCCCAGAACCAGCGGUGGGUGUGCACUAUAAAAUCAGUUAUCCUAUCCACGAGGUUACUAAACCAUUGUUGCAGAGGUUCACAGGCUGUUGAUUUGCAUUAGUGCUUGCGAACUAGCUAUAUUAGCAUCCGUAUUUAGUGAAGAUUUGUAUGUACACAUAAUCUGAAGACGUUUCCACUUUCCACCAAUAGUAAGGUAAGAACAAAAGUUAUGUCCACCCCAUAUGAAAAACUUUUAAAUUCGCCUUUUCUUCUAUGACCAAUCAAAGUGUCACGUACAUUAUUAAUUAAAAAAUAUUAAAUUUAUUUUAAAAUAACUAAAAAAAAUAAUGUUAAUUUUAACAACGCUGACGCCGCCAGUUAACCGUAAACCUGAAAUGUUAAAUUCUCAACCUUAAACCAUAAAUCUUAAACCCAAAUCCUAUAACGUAAACCCAAAUCCUAGACCCUAAACCCAAACCCUAAACCUAAACUCCAAACCCUAUACCCUAAACCAAAUCCUAGACUCUAAACCCAAAUCGUAUACCCUAAACUCAAAUCUUAGGGUUUAGGUUUAUGAUUUAAGGUUCCGGGUUUAGAAUUUAAGAUUUAGGGUUUACGGUUUAGCUAGCGGCGUCAUGACGUUAUUUUUUUUUUAGUUAUUUUUAAAUAAAUUUAAUAUUAUUAAUUAAUUAUCUAUGUGGAACUUUGAUUGGUCCUACAAAGAGAGAUGAACAUUUAAAUUCACCUCACAUUCUAUGACCAAUCAAAGUGCCACGUAAAUUAUUAAUUAAAAACUUUUAAAUUUAUUUUAAAAUAACUAAAAAAUAAUAAUGCUAAUUUUAACAAGACGCCGCCAGGUAAACCGUAAACCUGAAAUCUUAAAUUCUUAACCCUAAACCGUAAAUCUUAAACCCAAACCUUGUACCCUAAACCCAAAUCCUAGACCCUAAACCCAUAUCGUAUACUCUAAACCCAAAUCCUAGACCCUAAACCCAAACCGUGAACCCUAAACCCAAACCUAUACCCUAAACCAAAUCCUAGACCCUAAACACAAACUGUAUACCCUAAACUCAAAUCUUACUUUGAACAUUUAAAUUCACCUCUCCUUCUAGGACCAAUCAAAGUACCACAUAAAUAAUUAAUUAAAAAAUAUUAAAUUAUUUUAAAAUAACUAAAAAAUAAUAAUGCUAAUUUUAACAACGCUAACGCCGCCAGCUAAACCGUAAACCUGAAAUCAUAAAUUCUUAACCCUAAACCGUAAAUCUUAAACCCAAACCCUAUACCCUAAACUCAAAUCCUAGACCCUAAACCCAAACCGUAUACUCUAAACCCAAAUCCUAGACUCUAAACCCAAACCGUAAACCUUAAAUCCAAACCCUAUACCCUAAACCAAAUCCUAGACCCUAAAC
rnacentral:lncRNA from 1 species